AAAGUUUCUGUUGUGAAAGCCUGGACAUCAUCCAGCCAAACAGAGCGGUUGCUGGUAAGAUUUGAUGUUUUAUCAUCUAGAUUUGCUGCAGCUUUGUCCUUGAUGCACUUUGUGUCCAGGUCUGAUUCGCUGCUACUGGAGUCCCCCUUGGCUUUCUUUUUUGUCUUAUAGUGGUGAUGCUUUUUCUUUUUCUUUUUCCUUUUCUUACUUGACUUUUUCAGACUCUCAUCUGUAUC
rnacentral:lncRNA from 1 species